rnacentral:rRNA from 1 species
GACGAACGCUGGCGGCGUGCUUAACACAUGCAAGUCGAACGAUGAACUUGGAGCUUGCUCUGGGGGAUUAGUGGCGAACGGGUGAGUAACACGUGAGUAACCUGCCCUGGACUCUGGGAUAACUUCGAGAAAUCGGAGCUAAUACCGGAUAGGACCUUGCACCGCAUGGUGUUGGGUGGAAAGUUUUUCGGUAUGGGAUGGACUCGCGGCCUAUCAGCUUGUUGGUGAGGGAAUGGCUCACCAAGGCGUCGACGGGUAGCCGGCCUGAGAGGGUGACCGGACACACUGGGACUGAGACACGGCCCAGACUCCUACGGGAGGCAGCAGUGGGGAAUAUUGCACAAUGGGCGCAAGCCUGAUGCAGCAACGCCGCGUGCGGGAUGACGGCCUUCGGGUUGUAAACCGCUUUUAGUAGGGAAGAAGCCUUCGGGUGACGGUACCUGCAGAAGAAGGACCGGCUAACUACGUGCCAGCCGCCGCAGUAACAC